CCCCCUCUCAAAAUUCAACUUUCCUCUUUCCAAACCGAAAACCCCAAUUCCAUCUGUAUAAACCCUAGAUUUUUCAAGAUCUCUCGGAACCAUCACCUGAGAAUCGUUGUUUCUUCGACUACAAAGGGUUUUGAUGGAGUAUUUCAAGCGUCUUCCAGAGGAAAUCACAUUAGACAUCCUUACUCGGGUACCCACUGAAUCGAUCCUCCAAUGCAAAUUAGUGUGCAAAACUUGGAGGAAUCUUGUUGGUUAUCCAUCAUUUUCGAAGAUGCACCUACAUCAUCAUCUUAAUCGUCUUGCUGCUGCUGAUUCCGGUAAGUUGGGUUUUAUUGCAAUGGGUGGGAGGGCUCUGAAUGGUGAUGAUAAAUUUCAUUAUUUUGAAUACAAUGAGAAUCAUGAGACAACCCCAAUUGAGAGAAUUAAAAGGGUUAAUAUAAAUUCUCCGUUUAAAGGUAGCAGUGUUCUUCUUGGUUCGUCUAAUGGUUUGGUAUUUCUUUCAACAUGCCCAACUUACACAGAUGACUGUAAUAGAUCUGUUUGUAUUUGUAACCCAAUCACCUAAGAGUAUGUUGUGCUUCCAGAUAUUAAGAAGAAAGAACGUCGUGUUAUGAAUCAGUAUGUUGUUUGGUUGAUUGGGUUUGGUUACGUUUCUUCCACAAAUGAAUACAAAGUUGUACAGAUAUAUAUGUUGAGGAACCAGCAGUUUGUACAAGUUUAUGUGUACACACUAGGCAGUGGCAAUGGGUGAAGAAACCUUGGGGAAUUCAGUACUAAAAUCAAAGUAUAUCGUUGGUUCAAUGCUGUCGUUGCCAACGAAGCUCUUCACUGGAAGGAUACUGAAUCAGAAAUGAUUGUGACCUUCGAUUUGGCUGAGGAAAAGUUAUAUGAAAAUCGUUCGCUACCUCCUUUGCCACCGGACGGUAAUUGGUCUCGUAAUGCAAUAGAGGUUUUUGAUGGAGUUUUGUUUUUUGGUGUGUAUGUUGAAGGAGCCGAAUGUUUAGAAAUAUGGCUAUUAGAAAAGAAGAAUGACAAUCAUGACAUAAAAGAGGGAGAUGAACAUCUGUCAUUGGUUUGGAGUAAAAAGUUUAGGGUUGCUAAUAGCUUAUUUUUAUUUGCUACAAAGAGUGACUGUGUUUUAACUUACGAUUGGGACGGGUUUCUCACCGUUUACGACACAAAAGAUUCAACCUCGAGAAGGCUUAUGCAUUUGAAGGAAGGGUUUUGUCAAGUAUUUGCUCACAAGAACACCUUUGUUUCUUUGAAAGAAUUAGGGGAAAAAGAUAUAAAGAUAAUGGAGUCAGUUGAAGUUGAGGAGAUCGAAAGCCUUGUGAUUAGCCUUUGAAGCAGUUGUUGAGGAUGAGGUCCAUGCAUACAUACUUCUAAACUGACGAGUUUCUGAGGGAUGUUGUUGUCUGCCAACAAUAGCAUAUAUUUAAAGCUUCAAUCAGUAGUCAGCACUAGCUACCCUGUGAAUAGUCACUACUGCAAAUGUUUUUGGAGAAUGGGGUGAUCAUCCAAACAGGACAUCUUUUGUCUAGAGAACUACUGGAAGUGUUUGUACCAAUGUUGCACUUCAAUUAGACCCAAAGCUCAUGUAAGAUGUGCCCUAGGGCAGAUUUGCUAAAGUUUGCCAUCUUUGAAACUCGAGAAGGAUCACGUAAGCUUUAGAGAAUGGCGUACAAUGCUUUUGAAAAAGGUGCUGCCACAGCUAUGGGCAGAUCAAUCCACGUGCGAAGCAACAUGAACAAUGCCUGGAAAAACUGCUAUGCCCCUUGUGUACAAUGUAUACCACUCCACCAGUCAUUAGACUCAACUGACUUGGA